CCCCAUAAAAGGGAUUGAGAGGCCUCUUGUAUGUGCGUGUGUGUCCAUUCGCAUAGGGGCAAGGCUGUGAUGGUUUAAACAUGGAGGUGAGGAGCAACUUCGAGGCCAAAGUAAGGUCUUGUAGUGCAAAACUGGAGUCACACCUGUUUCCUCCUACUGGCUCAACACGAUGGGACCCUAAGGGCAAUGAAACGACUGAUAAAACUGUGUCAAUAACAGGUACAUGGAGAGGAUGGUGAUGGAAAGGAGAAAAAGGACGGCAUAGAGGAAGAGAGUGAUGAUCACCCCCGC